rnacentral:rRNA from 1 species
AACGAACGCUGGCGGCAGGCUUAACACACGCAAGUCGAACGAGAUCUUCGGAUCUAGUGGCAGACGGGUGAGGAACACGUGGGAACAUCCCUUUCAGUUCGGAAUAACGUUGGGAAACUAACGCUAAUACCGGAUACGUCCUUCGGGGGAAAGAUUUAUCGCUGAAAGAUUGGCCCGCGUCUGAUUAGCUAGUUGGUGAGGUAAUGGCUCACCAAGGCUACGAUCAGUAGCUGAUCUGAGAGGAUGAUCAGGCACAUUGGGACUGAGACACGGCCCAAACUCCUACGGGAGGCAGCAGUGGGGAAUAUUGGACAAUGGGCGCAAGCCUGAUCCAGCCAUGCCGCGUGAGUGAUGACGGCCUUCGGGUUGUAAAGCUCUUUUGUCCGGGAAGAUAAUGACUGUACCGGAAGAAUAAGCCCCGGCAAACUUCGUGCCAGCCGCCGCCGUAA